AUGUGCGCAAGGCACCUGGGGGGCAGUGUGGAGUGGCAGGCACCCCCUCGAAGGGGCACUGGGAGGGACAGGGCGUGCUGGGGGCAGUGUUGGCGGGUCAGCGGGCCGUCCUGCCUGGGACAUCCGGUGCCUUUACCUCCUCCAGUCCUGCUCAGCCAUCUCCCGGAGCAGAGCUUGUCUUGCUCCGCAGCUGAGGCCACCGCCCUUGGGGUGCCGCGCAGCUCGGCAUGUGCUUGUUUCGCUGGUGUGUCUCCUGCGUCUUCUCGGGCCUCCCAGUAUCCUCUUGAAGUCCUGGGGCUCCUGCCUGCUGCGCUUCCCCUGGGGUGCUGUAAAUGGGACACAGAGCAGCAGCCUGUUGGCUGACACCAUCACAGCCGAAGGUUUGCGUGGAGCACGCAGGCUGCAUGAUCAGUGGACCCCCCGGGUUUCAGGUUGCCUAAACCCGGAGGACUCAGCGCAGGCUGCGCCCCCGCGUGGCCGGCACGGGGGCAGUGCCUUGGUUGAGGGGCCGCCCUCGGGCUGGCGGCAGAGGUAGGGGUGGCCCGGCUUCCUGCCCCUCCCCUCCCUGGCCCCGUGUCCCCGCGCCCCCGCCCAUCUUCUCCAGCAGUCCGUUGCUGUCCUCACUGGCCCUGCCCAGCCCACAGUCUGGGCUGGGCCACGAUGCUUUCCUGAUGGUUGUGCCUGCUUGCGGCUUCCUUAUUGCCUCUGCUUUUACGGCCAGUUGGCUGCUCAGCUUCAAAGAUGAGGAGAGCAGUGACUCCAGGCGUGUGCGGGGGAGUCUAGCUCUUGAUUUCCCACCUGAGCAGCAGUGUCCCUGGGGGAGGAGUGCACGCAGCGUGUGGAACGGUGAUGUGCGCUGAGCAGGCUGGGUUUGAGGACAGAAGGAAGGGGAUGUGCUGCGAAUACCCCUUCUAGAAAGGCCCUGGGAGGGACUCCUGGGCUGGUGGGUGUUCCCUCAGCGCCUGGUCCCAGGCCCUGGGGACAUUUGACCCUGUAGGGAUUUUCAGAGCAGUUUGUGUCUGCAGAAGUCCGUGGAGACGGUGCUGGGAGAGGGUCAGAGAAAGCAGGUGCCGCGGUGAGGGUUCUGGAGGCGCUGCUCCUUGCUUUGGUUUUGUUUUUUCCUUCGCUCUUUUCUAGAAACAAGUGUCCCACGCUCCAAUCCCAGAGAACAUGACUUACAAACGCGUAGCUCUUAGCGGUUGCCAGUGUGAAGCCGGUGGCGCCCUCUGGGCCGGCCCUGGCCGUGACCCCGCCUCGUCUGUUGACAGGCUCCGCGCGGAGGGGCGCGUGUCCUGCAGGACAGGAAUGCUCUUGCAAGGAGAACUGACUGGAAAGUCAACAGUGAACGUUUUCCUCCAAAAUAGAAAUAGCCUUUGAGUUUGAAGGUCGUUUGCCCUGGAAAGAUGACAGUAAGUGAAUAUGAAGAAAGUCGUUUGUGACCUACCCUCCAGGAGAGACCUGAUUUGUCUCUUCCUUGAGUUUGCACCUCUGCUCUGCUGGGGAGUUUGUUUGGGAAGACGAGCUGUAGGGGUGUUAACCUGGCUCUCACCACUGAGUGGGGGGUCAGCCUUGUACUGCUGAGUUCUGUAACACUGGAAUUCCAGCCUGUCAUGCUGAUAUUGUUUCUGUAGCAUACUUUCCAANNNNNNNNNNNNNNNNNNNNNNNNNNNNNNNNNNNNNNNNNNNNNNNNNNNNNNNNNNNNNNNNNNNNNNNNNNNNNNNNNNNNNNNNNNNNNNNNNNNUCCAGCCUGUCAUGCUGAUAUUGUUUCUGUAGCAUACUUUCCAAGACGAUUAGGCCAGUUCCCUGUCACUGCUCUUUUUUGAAAGGAUUGAGAGGGAUUCUUGUUCAUUUAUUACUAAGAAAGAUAGAAUGGCUUCAUCCCAUUCCCCCCAAAUCCUUGCAAUUAUUUAAACAGGGAAGAACUUUCAUCUUUACUUUAAGGCUUCCUGUAGGAGAUGUCUCUUCAUUUUUCCUGAUUUUCUUUGUCUCAGUAAAAUUUUUCUCAUUUAGAUCCUAUAUCUGUUAACUGUUGCAACGGUGGCUGCAGUUAUAUUUGGAAAAUCCUUCAGGAAAGUGAAUUAGCAAAAGUCAUAAAACCACUUUUGUAUUUUUGACUCAAUAAUCCCAUUCUUAAACAGUUAAUCCUAUUCUUAAUCUCAGUAAUCCCGUUCUUAAUAUCUUGGGUUAAGAUGGACAGAAACCUUUCCCCUGAGUGAGAAUUUGGCCUCUCACUGACUUCCUACCCCUUUGCCUGGGAACCCUGUUGCAGGCACGUGCAGGCGCCUCUGUUGUGGGAAGCUUGCUUGUGGUCACGUGUCCGGCUUCGUGAUGGCAUCUGAUGGGUGGGGAGGGGCUGGGUGUACCUGAUGGGCCCCCAGCCUUGGGCUUCAGGGAGCACAGCGGCUCCUGUGCUAGGCGUGUCUCUUGUGGGGAGCCCCCAGGAGUGAGGGCUCUCAGAGUCGGGGUGUUGCGGCCAGGCCACCGCCCCGUGCCUGGGCUGCCCGCUGUGUGGACUGGCCAGUGGUCCUCAGCUCCGUGUGGCUGGCAUGGGUCUCAGGAGUCUGAGCGCCUACAAGACCUCCACCCAGCGAGCAUUCCAGCGUCCCAGAAAAGGACCCUACGGGUGGAAGCUCAGAGGUGUCCUCUCGGGCACUGUUGUCCCUAGAGUUUCGAUAUGUCAGACGGAAGGUGAGUGGCUGUUUAAAUGCUUAGUGCAGCCAGAGAAAUAUCAGACGCUGAAACAGUGGCUGACCGGCGCCACGGGGGGGACGGUUCCGGCCUGUGUGCAGGGCCACACGAGCUCGGAGGGGCCUCCCGGACGCGCCUCCGGUGGGUCCCCAGGCCUGUGAUGGGGUGUGCAGGGAGGAAGGCACUCGGGGCUGCCUGCCACCUGUGAGCAGGACCCAGAGGAGGUGGGCGUGAGCCGUCGUGGGGGCAGCGAGGGUGGGGCGUGCUUCUUGCGUCGUCUUUCUGAUGUUAGGAAAGGGCGCUCGGUGCAAAGUGGCACUUACUGAACUCUGAGAAUCGGUGUCUUUCUUUGCAAAGGCAUCUUCUUUUCACCCCUUUUCUUAAUCUGCCCUUUGCGUUUGAAGCGUGCCCCAGCCAUCACACUCUGAUCUCGGCCCCUAUUCAGCCCCAGACCUCGAGGUGAGACGCUUCAACUUUGGUUAAGGCAGUCCCUCAGGAGGCCG
rnacentral:lncRNA from 1 species